rnacentral:rRNA from 1 species
AUUGAAUGCUGGCGGCAGGCCUAACACAUGCAAGUCGAGCGUGAAAGUCCUUCGGGAUGAGUAAAGCGGCGGACGGGUGAGUAACGCGUAGGAAUCUACCUAAUAGUGGGGGAUAACGUUUCGAAAGGAACGCUAAUACCGCAUACGUUCUGAGGAAGAAAGCAGGGGAUCGUAAGACCUUGCGCUAUUAGAUGAGCCUGCGUCCGAUUAGCUAGUUGGUGGGUAAAGGCCUACCAAGGCGACGAUCGGUAACUGGUCUGAGAGGAUGAUCAGUCACACUGGAACUGAGACACGGUCCAGACUCCUACGGAGGCAGCAGUGGGAAUAUUGGACAAUGGGGGCGAACCCUGAUCCAGCCAUGCCGCGUGUGUGAAGAAGGCCUCGGUUGUAAGCACUUAAGUCGGGAGGGAA